GACGAACGCUGGCGGCGCGCCUAACACAUGCAAGUCGAACGAGCGAGAGAGAGCUUGCUUUCUUGAGCGAGUGGCGAACGGGUGAGUAACGCGUGAGGAACCUGCCUCAAAGAGGGGGACAACAGUUGGAAACGACUGCUAAUACCGCAUAAGCCCACGACCCGGCAUCGGGUUGAGGGAAAAGGAGCAAUCCGCUUUGAGAUGGCCUCGCGUCCGAUUAGCUAGUUGGUGAGGUAACGGCCCACCAAGGCGACGAGCGGUAGCCGGACUGAGAGGUUGAACGGCCACAUUGGGACUGAGACACGGCCCAGACUCCUACGGGAGGCAGCAGUGGGGAAUAUUGCACAAUGGGGGAAACCCUGAUGCAGCGACGCCGCGUGGAGGAAGAAGGUCUUCGGAUUGUAAACUCCUGUUGUUGAGGAAGAUAAUGACGGUACUCAACAAGGAAGUGACGGCUAACUACGUG
rnacentral:rRNA from 1 species